CGGCAGACGGUCGGCGCCCAUUCGGCGUCGCAGCUCCGGGCUGACGGACUUCUUCCGUCCCGCUGUCAGUCAGAUAGGAAGUCCCUCCGGUCGGAUACACCGAAACGAGCGUGCAGUCCCGGGGGAGGCUCUCCUCGGUUCCCCAGCGCCGCUUCCUCCCUCCCUCCCACGCACGCUUGCUUUUCCCCUCCCGAAGAGAUGAGGCGGAGGGAGAAAAGGCUGCUGCAGUUCGCCGGGCUUCUCAUCGCGGCUUUCCUCUUCCUCCCCAACGUCGGCCUGUGGUCCUUGUACCGGGAUCGGGUGUUCGACAACCCGCCGGACGCGGCAGUGGCACCGGCAGCGGCGGACGGAGCGCAGCUUCAGGGUGUUAACAAAGUGCAGAAGGACAAUCCGGUGCGCAGAACCGCUCCACAGAGGAAAGACUGGCACGACUACCAAGCCAUCAAAAGGGAUGCCUCCAGAUCCGGUAACGGCGAGCAGGGGAAGCCCUUCCCCCUGACGGAGGCCGACCGGGUGGACCAGGCCUACAGGGAGAACGGCUUCAACAUUUACGUCAGCGACAGGAUCUCCCUCAAUCGCUCCGUCCCCGACAUUCGUCAUCCCAACUGUAAACGGAAGCUGUACGGCGAGAAGCUGCCCAGCACCAGCGUCAUCAUCCCGUUCCACAACGAGGGCUGGUCGACGCUGCUCCGGACGGUCCACAGCGUCCUCAACCGCUCGCCUCCGGAGCUCAUCGCCGAGGUCAUCCUGGUGGACGACUUUAGCGACAAAGUGCACCUGAAGGGGCCGCUGGAUGAGUACAUGGUCCGCCUGCCCAAAGUACGCAUCCUGAGGAGCGAGAAAAGGGAGGGUCUGAUCCGGACACGUCUGCUGGGCGCCGCCGCUGCCAAAGGCGAGGUCAUCACCUUCCUGGAUUCUCAUUGCGAGGCUAACGUCAACUGGUUGCCUCCGCUACUCGAUCGGAUCGCCCAGGACCGGAAGACCAUCGUGUGCCCGAUGAUCGACGUGAUCGACCACGACAACUUUGGCUACGAGAUGCAAGCGGGCGACGCCAUGCGCGGCGCCUUUGACUGGGAAAUGUUCUACAAGCGCAUCCCCAUCCCCGCCCGCUUGCAGAAGGACGACCCCAGCGAGCCCUUUGAGUCUCCGGUAAUGGCAGGAGGCCUGUUCGCCAUUGAUAGAAAGUGGUUCUGGGAGCUGGGGGGCUACGACACGGGUCUGGAGAUCUGGGGAGGAGAGCAGUACGAGAUCUCCUUCAAGGUCUGGAUGUGCGGCGGUCGCAUGGAGGACAUCCCGUGCUCCAGGGUGGGACACAUCUACAGGAAGUACGUCCCCUACAAGGUGCCCGGAGGGGUCAGCCUGGCCAGGAACCUGAAGCGCGUGGCCGAGGUGUGGAUGGACGAGUACGCCGACUACAUCUACCGGCGGCAGCCCGAGUACCGCCACCUGUCCGCCGGCGACAUGACGGCGCAGAAGGAGCUGAGGAGACGCCUGGGCUGCAAGAACUUCAAGUGGUUCAUGAGCGAGGUGGCCUGGGAUCUGCCCGAGCACUACCCGCCCGUGGAGCCUCCCGCCGCCGCCUGGGGCGAGAUACGAAACCAGGCUAGCGGCAUGUGUAUGGAGACCAAGCACUUUGUGUCGGGAAGCCCCAUCCGCCUGGAGAACUGCGGAAAGCUCCGGGAGGAGUUCAGCUGGAGCCACGGGCAGGUGUUCACGUUUGGUUGGCGCGAGGACAUCCGCGUGGGCGACCCCAUGCACACCAAGAAGGUGUGCUUUGACGCCGUCUCCCACAGCAGCCCCGUCACGCUGUACGACUGUCACGGCAUGAAAGGAAACCAGCUCUGGCGCUACCGCAAGGAUCAGAGCUUGUACCACCCGGUGAGCAACAGCUGCGUGGACAGCGACGCGGCCGAGCACCGUCUCUACAUGAACACGUGUAACCCGUCCUCGCCCGGCCAGCGUUGGCUCUUUGAGAAGACCAACGGCACCGUGCUGGAGCGCUUCAACCGCGGCGGCGCCGCCGCCGCCGCACAUUGAACACCGCCCAGCUGGUAUCGUCCGCCGCUGCCGUCCUGGGGUGGGCCCCGAGUUUGGUUGAUGGGAUUUAGCGACGCAUUCCUACUCCUGUCGCCUUAUUUUUCCUGCCUUUUUCUUCACCGCCGAGUUCCUUAUCUCGUCCUGACGAGGAGUGGGCGGCUUCGCCGAGCAGAAGCGCGUGUGAAUGCACCCCACCUUCACCCACCCCCCUUGCCGUGGCUUUCCUAUUUUUAUUUUUUCAUUUCUUGACGCUCUCAUGUCCCUCGUCACAGGCGGAUGAGCGUGGGGUCGCCCCCGCCCCGCUUGUCGUGUGAUUGGCAGGUGGGAUGGGGCGACACGGGCGGGAGAGGGAGGGCGACUUUAAUGCACUUGUGAUACACUUGAAUGAAAACUUAGUGCCUUUGCUGAACAUUUUCGAUGUGUGGUCAGAGUGCGGCGACAGUGAACACGAUUUGAGCGAGGAACAGCGAAAGACUGAACCGACGACUGGUUCGUGGGAUUUCCAGACUCGGCCCGUCGUCACCUUCACCGAUGGACGGUCUAGCCGGCCCAAUGGACGCAGCGUGAUGAUCUGGCAAGAGCGACAGACCGGGUCGUGGUUGGGAAGGACGACCUUGCAAGGAGGAAAUCGGAUGGAUCAGAGGCUGCAAGGAGAAAGUGGACACAUUGGAUCAUUCGAGUGGUUGACCACUUAAUUGCCUUUAUGGAAACGAGCACUGGGACCUGUGCACCGCUGCAACACUCUGAACGAAAGGUCCCGUUUCCCAGUCCCCUUGAAGGGACCCAGCAAUUUGUGUUCUUCACGUACGUACGGUUGACAGCGAUCGUCGUUAGUCCUCCAGCUAAGUACGGAAGAACGGAGCACUGAAAGCCAACUACUGGAUGGGUGGACACUCAUUACUCUCCAUUGUCCGUAAUGGACACGCAAAGCCUUGGAAGUGCCUUUCCAUUCCAUUUCAUUUCACCCCAUGAGAAACGAUGAUGGAGGGCUGGCGGACUUGAAAGGAAGGACGAAGAGCUCAUGUUGGGUCAUUGAUCACCGACGACUUGCGCGUUAUCACAGAGUGGCCAAAAUCAAUCGCUCAUUUCGCCUUGCGAGCGAGCGAGCGGACGGACAGCCACAGGCCCCCCCGAUCCGCCUCGCCCCUCCGCCUCCUCUCUGUAGCCAAUGAAGACACGUAGCCAGCCACCUUUCAUGGGAGCGAGGAACGGUGACACACAAAGCAAAGGCGCUGGCUGGCUGGCUGGCUGGCUGGCUGGUCGGCUGGCUGGCUAGCUGGCUGGCAAUGAGCGAGCAAAUAUCGCAAUUCAUCUUGAUAUCCAUCACUUGAUGCGUCUUUUUAUGGCCGUCAUUUGUUGCGCAAUAGGCCUCGCCUCGUGUGCUCCUCUUUACGCUCUAAAUACAUUGUCACGCCUGUCCGACUAAUAGCAACACAGAUCAAUUCUCAUAAACAGCAGGCAACGAUAAAAGCUGAUUGAUUCUUGAUUCGCGUCGCAGUGCUCUCGUUUGACCACCAGAUGGUAAUAAAAUACAUACUUGGCCUCGGGGGACGUCUCCCAGACUUCA